UGGGGAAUUUUGGACAAUGGGCGCAAGCCUGAUCCAGCAAUGCCGCGUGCAGGAUGAAGGCCUUCGGGUUGUAAACUGCUUUUGUACGGAGCGAAAAGGCUUCCACUAAUACUGGGGGCUCAUGACGGUACCGUAAGAAUAAGCACCGGCUAACUACGUGCCAGCAGCCGCGGUAAUACGUAGGGUGCAAGCGUUAAUCGGAAUUACUGGGCGUAAAGCGUGCGCAGGCGGUCUUGUAAGACAGGCGUGAAAUCCCCGGGCUUAACCUGGGAACUGCACUUGUGACUGCAAGGCUGGAGUACGGCAGAGGGGGAUGGAAUUCCGCGUGUAGCAGUGAAAUGCGUAGAUAUGCGGAGGAACACCGAUGGCGAAGGCAAUCCCCUGGGCCUGUACUGACGCUCAUGCACGAAAGCGUGGGGAGCAAACAGGAUUAGAUACCCUGGUAGUCCACGCCCUAAACGAUGUCAACUGGUUGUUGGGUCUUCACUGACUCAGUAACGAAGCUAACGCGUGAAGUUGACCGCCUGGGGAGUACGGCCGCAAGGUUG
rnacentral:rRNA from 1 species